UACGGAGGGUGCGAGCGUUAAUCGGAAUUACUGGGCGUAAAGGGUGUGUAGGUUGUGUUAUAAGUUAGUUGUGAAAUACCUGGGCUUAACUUGGGAGUUGCAACUAAGACUGUAGUACUAGAGUAUAGGAGAGGGUAGUGGAAUUUCCGGUGUAGCGGUGAAAUGCGUAGAUAUCGGGAGGAACACCAGUGGCGAAGGCGGCCUGCUGGGCAGUUUAGCUGACACUGAGGCGCGACAGCGUGGGGAGCAAACAGG
rnacentral:rRNA from 1 species